rnacentral:rRNA from 1 species
GACGAACGCUGGCGGCGUGCUUAACACAUGCAAGUCGAGCGAGGCCCCUCCUUCGGGAGGGUGCCCUAGCGGCGAACGGGUGAGUAACACGUGGGCAACCUGCCCCUAGCUCUGGGAUAACCCCGGGAAACCGGGGCUAAUACCGGAUACGACCUCCAAGGGCAUCCUUGGUGGUGGAAAAGGUUACUGGCUAGGGAUGGGCCCGCGGCCUAUCAGCUUGUUGGUGGGGUAACGGCCUACCAAGGCGACGACGGGUAGCCGGCCNGAGAGGGCGACCGGCCACACUGGGACUGAGACACGGCCCAGACUCCUACGGGAGGCAGCAGUGGGGAAUAUUGCACAAUGGGCGAAAGCCUGAUGCAGCGACGCCGCGUGAGGGAUGACGGC